rnacentral:rRNA from 1 species
UCCUCCCUCUGGCGGCGUGCUUAACACAUGCAAGUCGAACGGAAAGGCCCUGCUUUUGUGGGGUGCUCGAGUGGCGAACGGGUGAGUAACACGUGAGUAACCUGCCCUUGACUUUGGGAUAACUUCAGGAAACUGGGGCUAAUACCGGAUAGGAGCUCCUGCUGCAUGGUGGGGGUUGGAAAGUUUCGGCGGUUGGGGAUGGACUCGCGGCUUAUCAGCUUGUUGGUGGGGUAGUGGCUUACCAAGGCUUUGACGGGUAGCCGGCCUGAGAGGGUGACCGGCCACAUUGGGACUGAGAUACGGCCCAGACUCCUACGGGAGGCAGCAGUGGGGAAUAUUGCACAAUGGGCGGAAGCCUGAUGCAGCAACGCCGCGUGCGGGAUGACGGCCUUCGGGUUGUAAACCUCUUUCGCCUGUGACGAAGCGUGAGUGACGGUAAUGGGUAAAGAAGCACCGGCUAACUACGUG